UACAGAGGGGGCAAGCGUUAUUCGGAAUUAUUGGGCGUAAAGGGCGCGUAGGCGGCCUGGCAAGUGGAAGGUGAAAUCCCUCGGCUUAACCGAGGAACUGCCCUCCAAACUGCUUGGCUUGAGUCCGGGAGAGGUGAGUGGAAUUCCCAGUGUAGCGGUGAAAUGCGUAGAUAUUGGGAAGAACACCGGUGGCGAAGGCGGCGACCUGGUCCAUUACUGACGCUGAGGCGCGACAGCGUGGGGAGCAAACAGG
rnacentral:rRNA from 1 species